CCGCUUAAUUUAGCUGCUAGAAUGUCUAAGAAGGCAGAGGUACGUGCCAUUUUUUUGCUCGGUUCUGAGGAACGGUCACUGCACAACAUUGAUGAUCUCAUUGAUGCUGCAGAGUACUCUCUUUCCCUUUUGAGAAAAGGAGAACUUGAACUCUUGACCUUAAUACCCAAAUUUUUAAUUACAAAGAACUUUACUAAUCAAAUCAACUGUGGAUGGACAUAAAGUGUUAGUAUCGGAAUCUUUGGGAACAAUCUAAUGCACUUUGCUUCAAGAGGUUAAAAGACUAGGAGACAAGAGGGGCCUGCCGCAUAUUGAAGUGAUAGCUUGAGUAUCUUUUGAGAGAAAGGGACCACUGAGCAAUAGAGAUUUCUCACAAGUCAAAGUCAUCAUGCCAAUAUCAAUAUAUAUCCUUCAUGCCUUGUAACCUCUAAAGAAAGAGCACAAUAUUAAAGUGUACUUGAAAAAAGUAUGAUUAGGGGGCAAAAUCAUGAUUAAAGAUACUCCAAAUUGCCUCUCUCA